rnacentral:misc_RNA from 1 species
UUAGUGAUUUAAAUUGAAAUUUUUUGUUUGAUUUAUAUGUUUAUGGUUCCAUACACUUAAAAUUAAAGUGAAAAUGCAAACAAACUAUUAUGGGGUACUAGUAGUGAAUUUCGGCCAGCAUUAAGGGGAACUAAAAUUGUUUGAAUUUGAUGGAAUUAAAGUGAUGGGGAAGUUGAAUUAAGUAAGUAGAUUAAGAUUAUGCACUUUAA